UGGAAAGGGAGUCGCGAGUUAGAUCCCUUCCCGUUUUGCUGCUGAUCUAGAGACAUACCAGCUACAGGUAGUGUUAUUUUUUGGUUCUUGUACAUACUGAUGUUAGAUUCUCGCUGGAGCGUGUUUUUGUAUCUGGAUACUAUGUAUGUAUUUGAACCGAUGUUAUUUAUAUAUGUUUCUUUUUAGCAGCUCUAUACUACUGGUUGUAGUGUUGUAUGAU
rnacentral:lncRNA from 1 species